rnacentral:tRNA from 1 species
GGGUCGUUAGCUCAGUUGGUAGAGCAGUUGACUUUUAAUCAAUUGGUCGCUGGUUCGAGCCGAGCGAAGCGAGACGACAACGCGAACGCGUUGCCCGCAGGGUGAGGUCGAAGACCGAAUCAAUCCAGCACGGCCCACCA